ensembl:misc_RNA Metazoa_SRP Metazoan signal recognition particle RNA
GCUAGGUGUGGUGGCGCACACCUGUAAUCCCAGCUACUCAGGAGGCCGAGUUGGGAGGAUCACCUGGGCCCAGGGAGGUCGAGGCUGCAGUGAGCCAAGAUCUUGCCACUGCACUCCAGCCUGAGUGACAGAGUGAGACCCUGUCUCAA